UAGGGAAUAUUGGGCAAUGGAGGGAACUCUGACCCAGCCAUGCCGCGUGAGUGACGAAGGCCUUAGGGUUGUAAAGCUCUUUUGGCGGGGAAGAUAAUGACGGUACCCGCAGAAUAAGCUCCGGCUAACUUCGUGCCAGCAGCCGCGGUAAUACGAAGGGAGCUAGCGUUGUUCGGAAUCACUGGGCGUAAAGCGCACGUAGGUGGGCAGUUAAGUCAGGGGUGAAAGCCCGAGGCUCAACCUCGGAAUUGCCUCUGAUACUGGCUGUCUAGAGUUCGAGAGAGGUGAGUGGAAUUCCUAGUGUAGAGGUGAAAUUCGUAGAUAUUCGGAAGAACACCAGUGGCGAAGGCGACAUACUGGCUCAUUACUGACGCUGAGGUGCGAAAGCGUGGGGAGCAAACAGGAUUAGAUACCCCUGUAGUCCCUGAGCGGGCUGGCAAGGCG
rnacentral:rRNA from 1 species